rnacentral:piRNA from 1 species
UAAAAAAAAUGCUUAGCCAGGGGUCACC